rnacentral:rRNA from 1 species
AUUGAACGCUGGCGGCAUGCUUUACACAUGCAAGUCGAACGGUAACAGGGAGCUUGCUCCGCUGACGAGUGGCGAACGGGUGAGUAAUGCGUCGGAACGUGCCGAGUAGUGGGGGAUAACGCAGCGAAAGUUGUUCUAAUACCGCAUACGUACUGAGGUAGAAAGUGGGGGACCUUCGGGCCUCACGCUAUUCGAGCGGCCGACGACUGAUUAGCUAGUAGGUGAGGGAAAGGCUCACCUAGGCGACGAUGAGUAGCGGGUCUGAGAGGAUGAUCCGCCACACUGGGACUGAGACACGGCCCAGACUCCUACGGGAGGCAGCAGUGGGGAAUUUUGGACAAUGGGCGAAAGCCUGAUCCAGCCAUGCCGCGUGUCUGAAGAAGGCCUUCGGGUUGUAAAGGACUUUUGUCGGGGAGGAAAUCCCCAGCGCUAAUACCGCUGGGGGAUGACAGUACCUGAAGAAUAAGCACCGGCUAACUGCGUGCCAGCAGCCGCCGUAAAAC